GACGAACGCUGGCGGCGUGCUUAACACAUGCAAGUCGAACGGAAAGGCCCUGCUUUCAGUGUACUCGAGUGGCGAACGGGUGAGUAACACGUGGGUGAUCUGCCCUGCACUUCGGGAUAAGCCUGGUAAACUGGGUCUAAUACCGGAUAGGAGCCAUUUUUAGUGUGAUGGUUGGAAAGUUUGUUCGGUGUAGGAUGAGCUCGCUGCCUAUCAGCUUGUUGGUGGGGUAAUGGCCUACCAAGGCGGCGACGGGUAGCCGGCCUGAGUGGGUGGACGGCCACAUUGGGACUGAGGUACGGCCCAGACUCCGACGGGAGGGAGAAGGGGGGAAGAUUGCACAAUGGGCGCCAGCCUGAUGCAGAGACGCCGCGUGGGGGAUGACGGCCUUCGGGUUGAAAAAUCAUUUCGCUAGGGACGAAGCUUUUUGUGACGGUACCUAGAUAAGAAGCAACGGCUAACUACGUG
rnacentral:rRNA from 1 species